rnacentral:sRNA from 1 species
GCCAGGUAUGGUGCCUCACACUUGUGGUCCCAGCUACCUGGGAGGCUGACACUAGAGGAUAACUUAAGCUCAGGAUUUUGAGGUGAGCCUGGGCAAGAUAGCAAAAGUGUCUC